rnacentral:rRNA from 1 species
UACGUAGGUGGCAAGCGAUACUCGGAAUCACUGGGCGUAAAGGGCGUGUAGGCGGUCCGCUAAGUCUGAUGUGAAAGCCCGGGGCUCACCCCCGGAAGGGCAUUGGAAACUGACGGACUCGAGUCCCGAAGAGGAGGGUGGAAUUCCUGGUGUAGCGGUGAAAUGCGUAGAUAUCAGGAGGAACACCGGUGGCGAAGGCGGCCCUCUGGACGGUGACUGACGCUGAGACGCGAAAGCGUGGGGAGCAAACAGG